AGGGGGCGGGGAGGGAGGGGAGGGAGAGAGGAGGAAGGGGUGAGAGGGAGAAACCUGCCGCGGCUCUCCGCCUCUUUGUCUGCUCUGGGACUUGGAACAAAAGGGGAAACUCUGAUGAACUCCUUCUCCAGCUCCCUGGACGCCCGAGUAUCUCUUUCUCGCAACUUUGUCAACGCGACUUUCUCCGCUGUCAGGCUGCGCAAAAGUAUCCUAGCGCCUCGCAGGCUGCAACAAUGGAAACAAUGUCCCUUCAAAGUGCGACGAAGUGGAGGGAGAAGGUGUCAUACCAGCGACUCCAAGAGUCAUGUCACCCACUUAGCAGGAGUACUUCUACUGAAAUGCCUUCGAAUUUCUCUUACUGGAUAUAUACCUACCAGCCGCUAGCAUGAAGAUGCCAGGACCGCUGCAAGUUAGCACUGGACAAAGUAGCAUCAACUUCUUCAUUUAGAGUUUCUUCAGUUAAAUUGCUGGGAUUUUCGACAAGGCUUUCCUUAUGUGGAUUAUUGGAGUGUGAUGCCCGAGAAUUCUCUACUUGUAGAAGCACGCCCACGGGACUGCAGAAGCCUUCACACCCACCCAGCACGCUCAGGGUUGAUGGCCUAACACUGGCUUAACACUCAUGUCGGCUGCACUAAUUGAAGUCACAUCCAAGUGGGUCAAUGCACUGAACAUAUCUGAUAUAGAAGGUCCCAGAUCCUGAAUUUUUAUCAAUGGUUUGCUGUAUAAGGCUUGCCUCCCAAAUAGCUGAGGACCCUUAUUUGGGAAGAUACGUUCUGAUGGUUAAGCAACAGCACAGAUGUCGAUGGGAAUGAGUGAUGGCCAUCCAGUGACCAGCUGGAUCUGACUGCCUUACAAGACGCAUGUGUAUGAUUAAGAGAGAGACAUUCGUGACUCCCAGAUGUACCUCCUUCCUGUCCCACAGUGUUCCUGAAGGGAGUGAGUUAUGGGGUAACUUAUAACACAGCAGGCUCUUCCUCAAGAUAGCUCUUGUCAAAACAGGAAGACGAAACUCGGGUUUCCAUGAGGAGACCACAGCUUGGGAUCCUGUCUGGAUGUACAAGCAGAAGCAUCUUCAUACUUUUCCAUUUCUAACCAUCAUGCCUCACCCCACCCUCCCAAGGCGACAUCUGCAGAGAGGUGGAACCAUCUAGGGAGGCCUGCCACUGUUUGCUGAGCUCCGGGUGAGGAUGAAGACACUUUGACAUGGCCAGCUUCAGACUCGGGAUCUGUCGGUGUUAGCAGCCGAAGGUGAAACUUGGAAGCCCUCUCCAGGAUGCAGCAGGUAGCUGAGGAGAAAACGAAGACUGACCAGCCCAGAGCUCAGAGCUUCCUCCCAUGCUCAGGAUUUACCACCAAUGCCAUUACAUCGGCCUCUUCUUGUAUGCCUCUGGAAACCACAUGUGUCCUCUGUUUGUAAUGGUUUGGCUAUGGUUGCUGGCCCCUCUUGGACAUUGUUUUCAGAACUUAAAGAAACAUUGCUUUAAAGAUUUAUUAGAACAUAUUUAAAAUAAAACCAUCUUCUCAUUUAGUAU
rnacentral:lncRNA from 1 species